UAGCUCAGUUGAUAGAGUAUUUGCCUUGCAUGCAUAAGGCCCUGGGUUUGAUUCCCAG
rnacentral:tRNA from 1 species